CGGAUCUCAUUUUGUUCACCCUCACCCUCGCCGCUCACCAGGGACAUGGCACGCAUCCGUGGGAACCAGUCCAGGUUCUUGUUCUGGAACAAAGUGCUGGGCUGUCAACCUUCAGGCCGAGGCCAGCAGAUGUAGCAUCUCCUCCCAGGUUGUGGACCAGCAGAGCCAGGCCUGUGGUGGUGUACACCCUCACCUUGAUCAUCUGAGCCACGUAGCUCUCGGGGCCUGUGUAGUCCGUCUUGUUCUUGACACGGACCAGCACGAUGAAGUACAGGUAAUUCCACAUGUUGUGCUCCAGCUUGAUGUGCUCCUCAAAGGAGACUGUCUUGUUGUCAAACUUGUCCCUCUCCAGACCUGGGGGCAGAGGGAGGAAGUGAAGCCACUACCCACUCGAGGGCCACCAUGGUGACUGCUUUCGACAGUUCACCCCGGGCUAUUUGGGUCACUCUAUUAACGCUCAGUUCACCCUGGGCUAUUUGGGUCACUCGACUAAAGUUCAGCCAUGGAGACACUACUCCUGCAGAUAGCAGCUGCCUGAGCCCAGUGGGGACAGGACUAGCUGGGUCAACAGUCUGUCCUGCAGGUGACCCCUGCUCUUUGGGCCCUGGUCACUGGGUUUGGAAGGAGCAGUGGAUGGAAACUAGAAGCCUGAGACCACAGUGCCCUUAGGUUCCUCUUCUGGAGGCCCAGACUUGAAGCAGUGGUUUCCCAGGUCCUGCCAAUCCCAGCACAAGCUAGGUCGGCUCCCUCCAUCCUGGGAUGGGCAAGCAGCCAUCCCCCUUGGGUGGUGGCCUCAGCAGGGGUGGAACUGGGAUGUCACGGUGUAGAAGCCUCCAGCGGCACAGCAGGAACCAGCUAAGCCUGGAAGUGGGCCUCACCACAGAUGAAGCAUGUGGUCUUGAGGAUCUCCUCUUUCUUCUGCUUCUCACUGCGCAGGUCGGCGAAGGUGUCGAUGAUCACCCCAAAGAUGAGGUUCAACACGAUGAUGAUGACGAUGAAGUAGAACAGGAGGUCGUAUACCACCCGGGCAGGGAAGAGGGACUCCUGCGGGGGGGGGGGGGGGGGGGGGUACUGUGAGGACACAGUUCGGCAGGCCGUGUGGCUCUGCUCACUCCAAGCCCCAAGAGAGAAAUGUGGGAGCCUAAGGACGGCAGUGACAUCAUCUGUCAACUAGCAAGAAGCCCUGAGCUGACAUUUGGAAAGGGCCGGCCAGGAGGAAGCCCUUACAAGUUUGUCCCGUUACAAAAUGGGGCUUGUUUCUGCCUUUAACUUAAAGGGGAGGGCAGCUGUGAGCUCCUAGGUCAACUUUCAGGAUGUCUCACACAUUCCAGAACCUUUGUCUAGCCAGAGAUGACUUCUCCCAAGUAACUGGGAAUUGAUGGCUUGGACAGCCAGCAGCCCUGUGUUAAGUUCUGAGACUCCUCACAGAGCUGACUCAGUGUCCUGCCCCUCCCCGCCCCCCCAUCCCCACCCCCGGGCUGAGGAAGCCAGAGACUGAUGCCUGGCUCACACCUUCCCAAGCCUCAGAGCCAGGACUGGUUGCCAUGGUGUCCCUUGUAGCAUCUACAGUGAGACUAAGUGGGCUGGGGUGGAUAGCUCUGGACAAUGUCACAGAAACUGGCUGGGUAUGGGAAGCAGGGAGCAUUCACAGAAGUGGGUGGGAUGGUCAGCAUGGAGGGGACCCAGCUGCUGCCUGGCUGAGGCCCAAGGGCAGGGCAGGGAUACUCACAUCUUUGGAGGGCUUGCGGAGGAUGUCACCCACACCACCACCAUUGCGCAGUCCGUGGUUCAUGACGGUGACGAUGCACAUAAGUAGAGUGUCACAGGCCCGCUCAGUGCUAUCCAGCUCCUCGUCCUCUGUGGGUGGUCAGUACGCUCAGACCGGGGCUGCCCAUUCUGUCCUGUCCCACCCCAUCCUGCAGGUGUCUCAGCCUUACCUUCUGGGAUCUCAGGCACCGAUACCUCCGAGACACAGUCUAUCUUGUCCCCACUACAUGUGCCCAUAAAUGUGGCAGCUCCAUGUGACAUUCCCAGGGUGCUGGCUAGAGGUGAUGGGAAUAAGGUCACAAGGAGAUACAAAUGUCUGUCUGACCUCAGCAUCGCUCUUGUCUGUCCUGAGACACGUCCCUGGGAGGCCUCCCCUCCUGCUGGCUCUCACUACAGCUAGGGAGGGUCUCUGCGACUCUGCGCCUGGCCGAGGCAGCCCCUGCAGACACCAGGUUCUCCAUGAAUGACAGACAGGUCUACAGGGCUUCCAUGGCUCUGCCUCCCCCAGACUGCAGUGAACUAGAGCCUGGAGGUUGGUGUGGGCCAGAUGUCCCCAGAACCCAGCAUGAGGAGGCAGGGAGCCUAGAGGAGCAGGCAUGCCCUGUCUGGUGCUGACAGCUACCUCUGCGUGCCCAUUGUCACCCCCCCCCCACGCCCACCCCAGAAAGGAAGUCCCAAGACCUCUGGAGUGGUUCCCAGGCAGCCGGUCCACCUCCAGGAUGAAAUCAUCCUUGAGGAAGAGGAACCCCACGAUGGAGAAGAGGUAGACUAGUAUGAGGGCCAGGAGGGCAGUCAGCAGGAUGGAGCGGCCAUUGCGGGUCACACUCUUGAUGACAUUGAAGAGCGUCUCCUCGCGGUAGAUGAGGUCAAAGAGCUGCAGAGACAGCAUCUGAGUAAGUCAGGCCCUGCCCUGGGGUCGGGGCCCGGGCCGGAGUCAGGCAAACGGGGCAGGCGUGAGAGGAGUCAGGGUGAGUGGACCCCAGCCACUCCGGAAGGUUGGCAACUCUCACGCUACACUCACUCCCAGGGAUGCAUUCUAAGCAUUUCUCACCCAGUUGUACAUUUCACCCUGUGAUUCUAGGAGGCAGAGUUGUCACGAGACAUAGGGCAGAUAGGACAUCUGCUUAGAGUUACACACUGUUCAGGUCAGAGGUUGGAGGACAAAUGCCUGGCCUGGCCAGUUCCGGAUUGAUCCCUCCUCUGAAUGGGACAGAUGGCGGCUUAUGGGAAACGAGGGUUAGGAGCCCUGGCCCCGGCCAUCUGCAGGCUCACCAGGAUGCUAUAGAAGAGCUCGUGUGCAAAGAGGCCCAGGACGCUCGUCAGGAUGUAGCCCACGUGGUACAAGAACUCCAUGUCCAUGACCAUGGCCUUAUAGCCACGGAUGAAGGUACCACGGUUGCCCACGAAGCUCACCACGAACACGAUCUUGUUGGUCAACUGGAUAGAAAGGGCAGGAUGUGGCGGUCAGCACCCCAUCAUCUAUCCUAACCCUCAGCCCUGCCACCAAGCCCAGCCCAGAGGCUAGUCCCGUGGAAUAAGUCGUGAGAGGUGCAGUAUCAAAGAAGUGAAGCCCUGGGGAAACUGAGGCUCAGGUGAAGCGGGCUGGAAUGGAGAAGACCCCAGUCUUACAGUGCUGGGUUAGGAAAAGUCGUCUUUCCCAUUUCUCAGGAAACAGUCAAACAUAAGUUUGACAUCCAUUUGUGCAUGGCCCAUGGCAGUGCAUGGCCAGCACCCAGCAUUUGACGCCCAAGGCUGCUGAUCUCAGGUAACUAAUCCCUGGCUGCCUGAGUUGUGGGAGAAGCCCAGAACAGGCCUACAAGGAGCCGGCAGCAAGAACGGCAGAGAUCAGCAGGAAGGAGGACUGGUCGAAGAAGUCGCUCACUUUGCUGCCCUGCUCGUCCUGCUCGGUGGUGGUGAAGAGCCGGUGCUUGGUCUCCUCCGUCAGGAACUGGCAGAUGGCAGGCACCGGGAACACGAUCUGCUCCAUGCUUCGGUCUUGCCGCACAAUCUGAUUGGCCAGGCGACACCCGGUCACCCUGGGCAGAGGCCCUCACCGCCCCCCGGCUCACGCCCGGCGCCCUCUGCCUCACCUCAAUCUGCGAGGUGUGGUUCUCGUAGUAGGCCAGAGGGUCCUCCUCCUCCUCCUGGGCAGGCGCCGAGGACUUGAGCAUCUGGGACAGCUGCUUGUUGUUGAGACUGAGCUGGGGACAGAGGUGGGCAUUGGGUCAGCGCUGCAGCCAUCCAGAGUGCUGCUCCUGGGGGUGACCCACCAGCCAGCCCAGACCAAGGCCACUCAACCAGAGCAGGGGAGUCGGUGCCCUCUUCAGCCCUGCCCUGGGGUCCUGCUACAAUAUUCCAGACCUGUCCCAGAUGCAAGGUCUUGCUUUCAUUUCUGUACCCCAGUCCAGCUGCAAGCCCCACCCACAGAUUCUAGCCUGGCUCUCGGGAUCCAAGCUCACUUGGUUCUAGGCUGGCUUUGGAUGACCGCAGCUUUCUGCCUCUAGCCUGCCCCUUGCUUCUCUCUCAUUCCCACAGAAGUCUCAUUCCUGCCCUCACGUCACAGCUCUGUUCCUUCACAGCCACCAGUCCAUCCAACCCCACCAAGUGAGGCUCCUGGGUUCAAGUCCCACCCCACCCCCAAACUCUCACCCCCGCCGUACCAUGGAAGAGAUGCCCUCCGCCUCCUCCUCCUGGAUGCGCCUCACCGGCUUCAGCAGGUGCUGCAGCUGUUUGUUGUGCCUGGAAAGCUGCAGGAGACAGGACGAGACAGCUGUGAGCGUUGUCUGGAGGGCAGGGCCGCAGAGGGCCGGGGCCGCACAGGGCCGGGGCCGCGGGCAGCACUUGGUACCUGAAGCGCCAGGAUGUAGAUGUUGUGGCCCACUUCACGUGGGCUCACUUCUGAGUUCUCCCUCUCCUCCUCCUGCAGGUAGGCUUUUUUGAUCACGUCCACCUGGGUGGGUGCCAGGGAACAACACAGCACUCGCUGUUACGCCCACUCCUGGGGCACGGACCCCCACGCCUGCACCACCCACACAGUCCUCUCCUGCUGCCCGCCUGCGCUCACCAGCUCCUGAGGCCGCAGGCUGAUGAGGAUGCGUUCCGCAUUCUCACUAUCAUGCCGACUCUCCAUCAGAGCCAGGAGGAGUUUGGAGGCAUUGUCCUGGGAGGAGGGGUACAGGAAGCAACCUGAAUCUAAGAGCCCCCAUUAUGGCCUUUUAACCUCCUCCUCACUUUGUUCUCAGAUGCUGGUGUGCUGAGAAGUGUCCAGUGUAUUAAUCCCCUGUAGACCUUACCCACCCUGAGCAAAUAUGUUCAAGCCCCCCAUCCCACCCCCAUACAAACACACACACACAGGAAGUCCUCGGGAACCCACGAUGAGUGUGAUGUCUGUUCACACGUCUAUUCCUGUGUAGCCAGUGCAACCUGCACAUGCACAGAAGAGGCCCCCACAUACAGCACAAUACAGUGCCACACCUGUCAAGUACCCUUGUCACUCACACGUGAACACACGUUUCACAGGCACAGCCGGCAUGCUCCCCACCGGGCCCCACCUUGAGCUGCAGCACCAGAUCCAUGCGGUACUUGCAGAGUGGGCUGAUGUCAUUGAGAAUCAGCGCGGUGAUGAUGUCGAUGCCAUUGGAUUCAUGAGUCACGAUGCAGGUCUGACAGGAGGCAGUGGGAGAUGCAGGGCCAGACCCGCAGUCGGGGUGGCCCUGCAGCCCCCCACACACCCUCUUGGCUCCUUCACAAGCACCACUGCCACCCCAAGGCUGCUCACCUGGUUCUCGUGACAUGGGCCCUGGCAGUACUCGGUGAGGGUCUCCAAGGUCUGGAUGACCAGGCCCACGUUGUCCUCGUUGAUGUAGAGCCCCAGCAGCCCCAGCCCCCCCGUGGUGCUGCCGCACAUGAUGUCCAGGAACUGCAGGGUCUCACACACCAGGUUGUAGUUGGUCUUGUUGUUCUGACAGCGCAGGAAGUUCUGUGGAGCACAGGCAGGAUGCAUCGUCAUCCCCACCAAGAGGACAUCAGUUCCGGUGGCCAUGCCAGGGAUGCUGGCCGAUUGGAAGUGGGGGGCGGGCAGGCAUGGGCAAGGCACUCACCUGUAGGUCACGGUUGUGGUUCUCACACAGCAGCUGCAGGAAGCGCAGGAUGGGCCGCAUGAUGAGCACAGAGGUGCCCAUCUCGUUGCUCUGCACACGCUCCCCCAUCUCAUGCCCCCGGUGCAAGCCGGGGCCCAGCGAAUAGCGGGAGGGGCUGGGCAUGGAGAAGGAGGCCACACGGCCUGUGGAGCAAGGCUUGGUAAGGCGGGGGCGACUGAAGCCCCUCCCUCUCUGGGAGACCCCCGUGCCCCGCACCCCACGUCUGCCUGGAGCCCAACCUUUGGUGGUAGGGUCCGCUGGCUCACGGUCCUCACGGGGCUGGCUGCCCAGGUCACUCAUGUUGACGGCCACUGUGGACUUGGUCUCCUGCUGGGCUCGCUUCAUGCGGUCAUGCAGCACCCUGAAGAAGCGCUCUGACUUCUUGUCGCUCGUCAUCAGGUUGUAGAAAGAUUUCUGGAGAUGGACGGGAGGUGGCGAGCAGCCUCAGCACUGUGCCUGGCUCUGGGUGGCCAUGGUAGGCCUCACAAACCCUAACCUGAAGUUGGGUGUGGUAGAUGGGUAUCAUCCUAGCCCUGGGAGGUGGCAGCAGGAGGAUCAGGAAGUCAAGGUCAUCCUUAACUACUUAUGGAGUCUGAGAGACACAUGUACCCUGAGAUGGAGGCUAGGGAUGGGCUUGGGGCCUCAGCAGUUAAUGGGGAAGGCCAGCCUGCCAUGGCCACAAUGCUGAGGGUGUGUGGGGUGAUUAUGAGCUGCCUUCUGCCCAGGCCCUACUGGCUACUGGCUCCAAUUGUACUCCACACUGCAGCCAGAUCCCUUGGAGGCCUAAGUCCUGUCCUUGUAGUGCAUGCAGCCUUCAGGGGCUCCAUCUCCUUAGAGGAAAAGCCUCAGCCACUGGGGGCCACGAGGCCACGUGAGAGUCUCUUCCUAGGACCCCACGCCUUCCCUCCUCCAGCCCCUUCGUGGCUGCUCUGCACACUCUUCCCACAGAGCUCCAGCGUCACCUCAGGUCUUUCUCUCUGUCCCCCAGGCUUGCCCGUCACUCUGUUUUCCCCACCUGUGCUAAGGGUGAAACCGAGGGCCUUGUGAAGGCUGGGCCAGGACCACCGCACCGGAUCACCAGCUCCACGGGGUUGAGUGACAGUACCCAGGCUGGCCUUGAAGUUGCUCUGGAGUCCAGGCAAGCCUUGAACCUGGGACCCCCUGACCCGGCAAGCCCAAGCCACUAGGCCCAGCCUGUGACUGUUUAACACAACCCGGUGCCCUGCAUUCCAUGUCUCCUGCCUUAGAUCCUGAUUUCCACAGUGUCUGCUCUCUGCCUGUGUCCUUUCCAAAACACAAACAUCAAGAGAACAGAUCUUGUCUCCUUUUCAGAGCUGAUGCUUGGCGCUUACAUCGUUCUCAGUGACGAACAGGAAAUGUGAACAAAGGAUGAGUCAGUGAAGAGUGAAUGAAUGAAUGAAUGGGAUUAGGAGUUAGGGCCUUGGAAUAGUCAGGCCAGGGCUCCAGGGCUGAGGAGGAUGGGGGAGAGGAAGCAGGAAGAGGCCUGAGCAGACACGGAAAUGCCAGAAUGGUGGAGCUAGUGGGACAGGACAGAGUCGGUACAAGGCCGGCCUGGGCGAGGGGAACAGGUGCAGACUCAGAAGGUCGACGCCCCCAGCACCCAGGCCCCCAGCCUCAGCACCACGGCCUCUCCCAGGCAGGCAGCAUCACCAGAGGCGAAGGCUCUGCUCCGACCCCACACC